rnacentral:rRNA from 1 species
UACGAAGGGGGCUAGCGUUGCUCGGAAUCACUGGGCGUAAAGGGCGCGUAGGCGGAUCUUUAAGUCAGAGGUGAAAUCCCAAGGCUCAACCUUGGAACUGCCUUUGAUACUGGGGAUCUCGAGUCCGGGAGAGGUGAGUGGAACUGCGAGUGUAGAGGUGAAAUUCGUAGAUAUUCGCAAGAACACCAGUGGCGAAGGCGGCUCACUGGCCCGGUACUGACGCUGAGGAGCGAAAGCGUGGGGAGCAAACAGG